rnacentral:lncRNA from 1 species
UUACAUCUACUUACCUCUCUCUAUUGUUUCAUUUGUGAAGACGAAGAAAGAGACUACAAUCCGUAUCAACAUUGAAACCUCUGCUUUUUCUUUCUACACAAAAAAUGACUUGCCUAAUAUUUUUACUCGUUGAAGAAAUACUGGUAUAAUUUAUUAUAUGUGCGAAAUACUCUAUGCCCCUAAUGUUAAUUUUUUUUCUCAGGGGCUACCGCCCUCAACUCUCCAUCUACCGUAAGCAAAGGUGGAUUUGAUAUCGAAGGAAAAUUCGUUCUACAUGUACAAAUUACUCACCAAACCCCACUCCUCAAAUUUUGUUAGAAUAUGAUCCAAAUUCCUAUUUGGAUUAGGUUUGGGUUGUUUGAUUGAUAAAAGAGACGUAAACAAUUUUGAUUUGAAAGUCCGAUUUGAAAAUGGAUCAAAUUUCAUCAAAGAUUGAGAGUUUGAUUGGAAGAAGAACUUUGAAAUGAUGAAAAACAUCUUUGGAAGGUUUGGAGCCGAGACCGGGCGCCUAUGCACCAUGUCGCGGCCAAGGGCGCCCAAGGAAGCAAAAAUCAGCAUGGAGCAGGGCUCGAGGUGCAGCAGCGGCUCCUUGCUACUACCCUUAUCUCCCUUUCUACCCUAAUGCAGAGGUCGAUCAACAGUCACGGAAGAAUUCUAAUAUGUGUACGAAUAAGUCACUGUACUCCUACAACACAUUUUUUCCCCCUCAUGGGCUACCGAUCUCAACUCCCCAUCUACCUUAAUCUUGAGGUCGAUCUGCAAUCAAGGGAAAAUGUGAAUAAUAUAAUUAGAGACAACUCCAAGAAUCUGACGACCUCCAAGCUACACAUAUAUUUUGUACAUAUAAAAUAAUUCUUGGAGGGAAAGUGGCAUUUCCAUUCAACAUUACUGUUCCAUAGGUUGUUAAAGUGCUGUAUUUUCAACAAAGAAUUUUGGGAUGUGAAAGGGAUACGAUUUUAUGCUCAUAAUUAAGCCGAAGAUUGGUGCAUGAGUGAUGAUUAAGCAAAAGAAUUAGAAAAACUUAAACCAAUAAAUAUGUCAGUUUCGAAGGGAGGAAGAAAGGGCACGUAGUCGGCAGAGGGCAUUAUGAGUUAAUUAAUACGUAUUUUUCAAAAAACAUGUUAGAAAAAUUUAGUCAAAGUUUUUUUAUUUUGUAGGAAAAAAAAACUUGAAGUCAAAUUUGAUGACGUCUGGUGUGCUAUUCCCCAUGUUAGCUUGGUGCUAUAAAUACCCCACUCCUUCCGUUCAUUUCUCAUUCUGUAUUCUCAAAUUCAUACAUAUAUCUUAUAUGUGCGUUUGGGGGGUGUAGGAAGGUUGUGAAAAGUACGGUAGAAUCCGUAAAGCUCAGGAGGGAUAGCGCCAUUGAUCAUCUUGAUUGUAAUUCUCCACCACUGUGGUAAUUACUGGUUGUGGAGGAUCUAUGGCGCUAUCCAUCCUGAGUUUCAUGGUUUCUAUAGUAUUGUCAGAGGCGGAGCUAUAAGGGGUGGGUGGCCAUCGCAACUGUAACAUUUUAUAGAAAUUUUGAAUUUUUUAUAUGCAAUAAUAUAUGUAUGUUUUACUCUCUCAUUAUUUUUGACUUCCCUACUUGAAAAUCUUGGGUAUGCCGGUACUCUAUCUAUGCACAUAUAUAUUUGCUUUAAUUAUGGGUCUCAUUGAAAGAGGUAAAAUGAUUAAUGACAGAGGUGGGUAUAUAGAUGUCUGCAUAAUGUAUAUUUACGUUUUUGAAGUUUCAAAUGAACAGGGAGAACCUGCUAAAUUUUAUUCAACGAGCAUUGGGUAAUCAUUAAUAUUGUAUGUUAAAUAAAUUUUGGUGUACAAGAGGGUCGAGAGAUAAUGGAUCAUAAAGGAUGAGUUGGUGGAGCGUCACCAUUCCUCCCUCUUGUCCCCCAACCCCACCACCUCAAUUAAAUGGCUAGUAUUUCUUGAAAGACCAAUAAUUAAUUAGGUUGGUCAAGAGGAAACAACGAACAUGAAAUGCUCAAAACAAUACGAUACUACAAUAUAGUUUUGUCCAAUUUAAUAAAUAAGAUUUUAACUUCUGCAUAAUAAUAUUCGCACUUCAUUAAAGCUUAGUCGAUAUGUCAACAGUAUAUUAUAAAGGUGUUUGGUGGAGGUUUCAGCCCUCCUCAUCUUAACCCCCCAUGCCAUCCCAUCCCACCCCAAUUCAAUGGCUAUUUUCCCUUGAUAGAACAAGAACUUACUCGGUUCAGUUAACGAAGACCAAGAAAUGCUAUAAACAAAUAUAACAUCGUAACGACAUGCUUCAUGCAAUCUUCAACUCGAUUAUCUCCGAUGAAUACUAGAUUUAAAAUACAUACACAUGCAGAGAGCCUUCAGGAUGCACUACUGAACAAAAAAUGAACAGUAUACAUAACAAAAUUUGAAUGUUCAAUCCUAGAUACCCAAUAGCUAAAAUUUGGUUUUUGGCAGCUUUUGGAAAUCUGCAUUAUUUGAAAAGAAGAGUGCCUCAGAAAUUAAAAGGCUGAUUUAUAUCCAAUUUCAUGCAAGUGAUGGCUUGAUGAGUCUUUUCUAGUAUUCUUUCAAAUCUAUAAGCUAAAACUAGGUUUUUGCAGUAUCUGUGUAGUCUUGGUUGUUUCAUAUCAACUUUCUGAUAUUUAUGACUUUUCCAUUUUCAGGUAAAUGACUGAAACUUUCACCAAACCCUAAUCAUUUCGUGGAUUUUGAUUUUUAUGUGGAUUUGGAUUCCAUGAAUUUUUUGAGUGGAUAGGAAUUAUUGAUGUGAUGUACAUAUUAGUAGAAUGAGGUUUUUCCUCUAGGGUUGGAGAUCUGAAAUUGAGUACUGGUGGAACAAUUAAAGUUGGUAAAGGACUUACUGGGGCGGUGCACUAUCAAUUUGAAAAUCCAAACUUUUAAAGAAAAAGCUAAGUGUACAACGUUGAUUGACAAUUAUGUGUUGUCAAAAUUCAAAUGUUAUGUAAAAAAUAUUUUUUUAAAAUUGAUGAAUAUGAUGAUGAUAAAUAGGAUGGUGUCAACUAAUGUUGUGCAUAUAGCAUGAUUAUUUAAAAAAUGAUAUUGUAAUCUUAUCGAUGAAAUGUCUCUCUCCAAUGUUAAUCAAGUCAUAGUUAACCUACAACUCACAUAGGUAUCCUCUUUUUUUUUUUUUUUAAUCGAGGAGAUGGAAAAAAAUGAAAAAGGCAACUUGCAACACCAGUAACUGUCCUGGUACAAGGGGAAUAACUCAAAUUUGAUAUCCAUGUUCUCUAAUUAAUAAUCAUAUCAAAUACUAUUGACAUCGAAUUUUGUACCUCCAAUGGCCAACGGAUCCUAAAGCCCCUCAUGUCCACACAAGUCUAAUUCCUACACAUUUGGACAAAUCAUUAGCUGUUGGCUUCCUCCGGUCGGAAAGUUGGCCCUCCGCACUCCAACAAUCAAGUUAGUUGGAGAAGUAAAUAUAUAAGUAUAGAAGAUCUUUAGAUUGAGCCUCUAAUAUAAAAAAAAGAGGUCGAUUUUGGAGAGUAAUAGAUAAAACAGUGAUAUAGUGAAGUUAUAGCUUGAGGAUCUAAACUUGCAUUAUCUAGAAAUGACACUAAGUCUGAGCUUUUAUAAUGUAAAAAGAUGAAUAAAAGUCGUUGGAUGAAAAGACACGUGACCUCAUCCGUGAGGCUGGUGCUUGUCAAAAGACAUCAAUCAAUUACAAACAUAAAUGCUAAUACCAUUUUAGCUCCCGUUUGGCCCUCAUUAAAUUUUAUUAUAUUACAUUUCAUUUUUCCCUUUUCU